UUUCCGUAGGUGAACCUGCGGAAGGAUCAUUAAUGUGUUUGGGCCUCACGGCUCUUCAUUCCGACGCUGUGCGCCUUCGGGCUGCACGCUGAGGGAGCAUAUAUCCGCCCCUGUGCACACACACGGUGGCGAGCUGGGUAACGGCUCGCCGCUGAUCUUUACACACGUCUAAAAGUCAUUGUAUGUUUAUUUGAGAUAAAAACACAACUUUCAGCAACGGAUCUCUUGGCUCUC
rnacentral:misc_RNA from 1 species